rnacentral:sRNA from 1 species
CGCGCCGCCGGCCGCCGCCGCCCCGCCGAGAGGUGAAACUGUCGAAGCCCUCCAGGAAGGCUUUCGCACCACCCUGAUGCGGCGCCGCUACUGCGCGCGGCAGCUUGGACCGGUGUCGGAGAAUGACGGUGAGUCCGAUUCACUGGCC